CAUUUAUUAUAUAAACAUGCAAUAGGAAACAAUAAAUGCAAUAUGCGCCGUUGGGUUAAUGAAAGUUACGUUAAUUAUAUGAUACUCUGAAUAUGUUAAUCCUGUAAGUCCUACAUCUUUGAAAGCCUGUGACAAAAGCUAUGACUGAUGCUAAAUGUACUUUUUUUGGGCCCCUGCUUGGGCCUCAAUUUGGAGCAUUAUGUAAAAUUGGCCUAGGGCCGCAGCUGUAUGCAUACCUGCAUGUCAGGGUGUUUUGUGCUUAAGAUAUAAACCUUUCCCCUUUAUGAAGCUUUCUAGCUUAUUAGUCGACUAAUUGUAAAAUGUUGAAAAACACUAACAUAGAAAUGUGUACUGGAACUUAAUCAAGGUUCAAACAAACUUCAGAUAGUUGAGAUAAGGUUAAUUGUGAACAGUUCUAAUGCAAAAUUAUGUCUAACAUCCUAUAUAGGAGACGCGAUGGCUGAGCGGUAAAGCUGAGGUCCAAAGGUUCAAAUCUUAGUGAAGGCUGGGAUUUUCCAUUUCGGGAUCUUGAGCGCCUCUGAGUCCACCCAGCUCGAUUGAGUACCUUACAGUUGGUGUAAAGUAAAGGCGGUUGGUUGUUGUGCUUGCCACCUGACAGCCUCGUAAAACCGUGGGCCACAGAAACAGAUGACUUUUACAUCAUCUGCCCUAUUUAUAGAAAAGGUCUGAAAGAGGAACAUAACUCUUUUUACUAAACUACCUAUAUGCCUGAAUACGAAAUAAAAUAUCUAGACAUUUUAUCAUUUUCUUUUAUAAUAAUUCUUUAAAACGCUGAUUAAAAUUUCGCACAGUUUUGUUAUAUUCCAGGACAAAUGACCCGUAGAUAAUAUUAGUGCCCAACAUGCCUACCAGUUGAUAUUUGUAUCAGAAAUUCAGUGUUAGACUAAAAUAAUAAUAAAUAUAUACUUCAUAAAACUAAAGUCACACCAUCAUCAGAAAAUUGAAUGACACUAAUUUAACAAUCACUUACUUCACGAAGCUGAACUAUUGUCUCUUUGUGUCACAGUCAAAGUGGAUCAUUUGUGUUUAAAGUAUGCUCAGGAAGUACAGAACGGUGUCUAAUGUAUGAUUAGAAGUUCCUAGUUAAAUAUGACUAAAUGAUUGUCAUGUCAAGUACAUGGUAAACAUAAAAAUACUACUUCUAGUUUCCUGUUUGUUUGGGGUUUUUGUAUUGGAAAGAUAUGCAAAUUAAAUGAAGAAAAAACAAUUCGGAAUAAAAAGAUCGGACAGAGUGGAAACAAUAUUGAUCUCACUAUUUAAUUAGAACCUGUUAAUAAAACAGACAACUUUAAAAUUCUUGAAGUGUGUAUUAAAAUGGUUAAUUUUGUCGUGAUGGUAUGGCAAUCUGAACAUUAAAAAUAAAAAUAAACUUCAUAGAACCCUAAAUGCUGCUGGCAAAGUCAUUGACAAAAAAACAAAAAAAAAACAACAACAUUUGGGCAGCUGUUUGAGACAAACAUCCAUAAAACAUCCAUAAAAAAGCUAAGAUUCUAGAAAUAAAAAUAAACCCUUGGGUCAGGAUUUUGUGAUAUUACCAUCACAAAAGAGGUACAAGACACCGAUACCAAAGACAGACACACUCUUUUGUUCCCCUGGCAAUCAAAUCAUUAAAUAGAAACAAUUUGAUAUAAACUUUUCAUAUGUAAUGUAUGAGUGAGUCUGGUGUGAAUGUACAUUUUGACUUUUAUAGUUAUAAUGUUUUGUUUAUAAUGCACAAAUUGUAAGAAAAAUUUCCUUACGGACAUGUUUUACUGUUGUUUUUUUUUGGUUUAAAUUAAUGUGUAACUGCUAUUAUAAAGUAAAUGUUUCACUGAUAUAAAAAAUGAAUGUUUCAAUGCUAUUAUAAAAAUGAUUCACUGGUUGUAGCUUUAAAUUUCAGACUCUUCAAUAUGGAUAAUUUUACAGUCUCGCCAUUAUUAGCUAACCGAGCAUCGGCUUAAGACUGACUGUGAUUCGGGAAACCUUUGGGCUAAUGGGAAAAAAUCUCUCAUUUUUAGCCACACAGACCAAUCCUUUUCUUUGAUCAAGUAUCUCAAGGCCUUGCGUCAAAUAUGCAGGACACUUCUUUGCUUUUUCUCGUACACGUAUACAUG